rnacentral:rRNA from 1 species
GACGAACGCUGGCGGCGUGCUUAACACAUGCAAGUCGAACGGAAAGGCCCUGCUUUUGUGGGGUGCUCGAGUGGCGAACGGGUGAGUAACACGUGAGUAACCUGCCCUUGACUUUGGGAUAACUUCAGGAAACUGGGGCUAAUAACGGAUAGGAGCUCCUGCUGCAUGGUGGUGGUUGGAAAGUUUCGGCGGUUGGGGAUGGACUCGCGGCUUAUCAGCUUGUUGGUGGGGUAGUGGCUUACCAAGGCUUUGACGGGUAGCCGGCCUGAGAGGGUGACCGGCCACAUUGGGACUGAGAUACGGCCCAGACUCCUACGGGAGGCAGCAGUGGGGAAUAUUGCACAAUGGGCGGAAGCCUGAUGCAGCAACGCCGCGUGCGGGAUGACGGCCUUCGGGUUGUAAACCGCUUUCGCCUGUGACGAAGCGUGAGUGACGGUAAUGGGUAAAGAAGCACCGGCUAACUACGUG